GCUGGCGUAGCUCAAUUGGUAGAGCUCCUCAUUUGUAAUGAGGUGGUCGCCCGUUCGAUUCGGGCCGCCAGCU
rfam:Omnitrophica WOR_2 bacterium GWB2_45_9 gwb2_scaffold_7518, whole genome shotgun sequence.